GGUCGGUUGGCUCAGUGGUAGAGCACCGCCUUCACACGGCGGGGGUCACUGGUUCGAAUCCAGUACCGACCA
rnacentral:tRNA from 1 species